AACAGGUUUGUAACAGGUUGAGUAACAGUGUUGUAUUAGUUGAGUAACAGGGUUAUUACAGGGUUGUAUCAGAGUUGUAACAGGUUGAGUAACAUGUUUGUUGUUGUAACAUGGUUGUGUCUGGGUUGUAACAGGUUUGUUACAGGUUGAGUAAGGGCUGUUUUGAUGUUGUAACAGGUUUGUAACAGGGUUGUGUCUGAGUUGCAAUGAAGUUGUAACAGGUUUGUAACAGGGUUGAGUAAGGGUUGUUUUGAGGUUGUGAUGGAGUUGUAACAGGUUUGUAACAGGUUGAGUAACAGUGUUGUAUUAGUUGAGUAACAGGGCUAUUAGAGGGUUGUAUCAGA